CCUACGGGUGGCAGCAGUGAGGAAUAUUGGUCAAUGGGCGCAAGCCUGAACCAGCCAAGUCGCGUGAAGGAUGACUGCCCUACGGGUUGUAAACUUCUUUUAUAAGGGAAUAAAGUGAGGCACGUGUCCCUUUUUGUAUGUACCAUAUGAAUAAGGAUCGGCUAACUCCGUGCCAGCAGCCGCGGUAAUACGGAGGAUCCAAGCGUUAUCCGGAUUUAUUGGGUUUAAAGGGUGCGUAGGUGGACUGUUAAGUCAGUUGUGAAAGUUUGAGGCUCAACCGUAGAAUUGCAGUUGAAACUGGUAGGCUUGAGUAUAGUAGAGGUAGGCGGAAUGCGUGGUGUAGCGGUGAAAUGCUGAGAUAUCACGAAGAACUCCGAUUGCGAAGGCAGCUUACCAGGCUGCGACUGACGCUGAUGCUCGAAAGCGUGGGUAUCAAACAGGAUUAGAUACCCGAGUAGUC
rnacentral:rRNA from 1 species